UACGUAGGGUCCGAGCGUUGUCCGGAAUUAUUGGGCGUAAAGAGCUCGUAGGCGGUCUGUCGCGUCGGCUGUGAAAUCCCGUGGCUCAACUGCGGGUCUGCAGCCGAUACGGGCAGGCUAGAGUUCGGUAGGGGAGACUGGAAUUCCUGGUGUAGCGGUGAAAUGCGCAGAUAUCAGGAGGAACACCGGUGGCGAAAGGCGGGUCUCUGGGCCGAAUACUGACCGUGGAGGAGCGAAAGCGUGGGGAGCGAACAGG
rnacentral:rRNA from 1 species